rnacentral:rRNA from 1 species
GACGAACGCUGGCGGCGUGCUUAACACAUGCAAGUCGAACGGAAAGGUCCUGCUUUUGUGGGGUGCUCGAGUGGCGAACGGGUGAGUAACACGUGAGUAACCUGCCCUUGACUUUGGGAUAACUUCAGGAAACUGGGGCUAAUACCGGAUAGGAGCUCCUGCUGCAUGGUGGGGGUUGGAAAGUUUCGGCGGUUGGGGAUGGACUCGCGGCUCAUCAGCUUGUUGGUGGGGUAGUGGCUUACCAAGGCUUGGACGGGUAGCCGGCCUGAGAGGGUGACCGGCCACAUUGGGCCUGAGAUACGGCACAGACUCCUACGCGAGGCAGCAGUGGGGAAUAUUGCACAAUGGGCGGAAGCAUGAUGCAGCAGCGCCGCGUGCGGGAUGACGGCCUGCGGGUUGUAAACCGCUUUCGCCUGUGACGAGGCGUGAGUGACGGUAAUGGGUAAAGAAGCACCGGCUAACUACGUG